rnacentral:misc_RNA from 1 species
GAGUAGAUGAGGAAGAUGGUAGAGUCAAAGUGGUAGAGGAAGCAGAAGACACCAUCGUCUCAGCUGGUUGAUGUGAGGGCUUUGAAUUUGUUUUGGGCUGAACCAAAGAGAGGCCUUGGUGGGUGGAAAUAGAUGAGCCUGGAGGUCUAAGCAAAGAAGCAACAACUAUACUCAGCCCAAGUCCAUAUCGAUCAUUUGUCUUUCCUAUUAGAGAAUAAGGAUGACGGGAUGGUUGUGUAAUCUACAGCUUCCAUACAAUUUUACGAGCCAAUGUCAUUGUACAACUGAGAUCAUUGACAUCCUGGUUAUGAAGCCGAAUAUGAAUGUCCUCUUUC